ensembl:lncRNA
GAGAAAACAUUCAUCUCAGCUCAUACACUUAGAUUGUGAGUCUCCACGGGACAAUGCUGUUGUAACAAAAAAGAGUUCAGAGCUCUCAAACUCUUGAGUUUACAGUGGGGGAAACCUUAAAUAGGAAUUACCUAGUAUUCUAGAUGAGUGUGGCACUAUUGAAAGGGAAACUCACUAGAAAGAUCCUUCCGGUUCAAUAGUUGCAAUGCACCUGAGUGACUGGAAGGGCUGGAGCCAGGAUCUACCCCUUUCCAGGACUCAUUUAAGGGAUGGCAGUGGAUGCAAAGGUAUCUUUCUGGAGAUCCCUGCAUAUGUGAGGCCUUCUGAAGGGAAAGUUCAAGCCCACGUUUCCAAUCACAGUAUAGCUCCUAACCACUACACUGCAAGCUACAGAUCUCAAGACCAGCCAAAGACUGUUUAAUCUAGCAGCGAAGAUUUUAAUUGCUUCCAACCAAGAAGGGAGCUGCACUCCAGGCUUCUCCAUCUGUACAAAUGCUCGAAUCAGUUGGCUGCUCCACAAACACUGGACACAACCUCUGGCCUUUCCCAAAACAAACCCCGAACCUUGGUCAGUCCAUUGAGGGAUACUCAGAGGUCUCUCCUUCUGACCAUGGGCUUGAGAUGGAGUCACUACGGCUGCAGGCUGGAGCAUGCAUGGAUUUGGACUUGUUGCUCCCUAUAGUUCCUUUACAACUUGGGAUACUCCAUGAUUCAACCUGGUCAGGGUGGGAAAGCCUUCACUGAGCUCACCACUUGCUACCACCAAGCUCCUGUCCUUGGGGAUUUCACUCACCAUCCCAAAGUGUUGCAAGGAAUAGAAAACUGUAAGUAGUGAAGGAGAGUCUCUGCUGACAGAGGAAAAGCCUACGGAUGUGCCUUGCAUUGCAGCAUGUCGGCAUCCUCAAUACCUGUGCUGGUUUUCCCAAGGGAAGAACUGAACACCUGGAAAGGAGAACAGGCUCCUGAGGUUGUGCAAAUGGCAGCUGAUUUCUUUAGGUGUUUUUAAAAGAUAUUGUCCAAGGGAGACUUUAUUGGUAUAUCUGGGGACUUUUUUGAGUUUUUGACAUACUCAGAAGCAGUUUGAAAGAAGAAAUAGUAUAUAAAAUGCAACCUGGCAAAGAGGUUUGAAGGGGAACUGCUGCUGGAAAAGAGUACAGCAUGAGCAGGACAGAGCAGCCACCAUCCUGCUCCCUGCCUCCCUCACCCUGAAUGCCAACAUCCUCCCUGCCCCUGCCCGGCCCUUGCAGUUGUCCU